CAAUAGCGUAUAUUAAAGUUGUUGCAGUUAAAAAGCUCGUAGUUGAAUUUUUGCUUGCCGCCGAUGUCGGAACUUCCGUACGUUCGGCGGCGUGCAUCCUUGGGUGGAACCUGUGUGGCAUUAGGUUGUCGUGCAGGGGAUGCUCAUCGUUUACUGUGAAAAAAUUAGAGUGUUCAAAGCAGGCUUACGCCGUUGAAUAUAUUAGCAUGGAAUAAUAAGAUAGGACAUUGGUACUAUUUUGUUGGUUUGCGCACCGAGGUAAUGAUUAACAGGGACAGUUGGGGGUAUUCGUAUUCCAUUGUCAGAGGUGAAAUUCUUGGAUUUCUGGAAGACGAACUACUGCGAAAGCAUUUACCAAGGAUGUUUNCAUUAA
rnacentral:rRNA from 1 species